ensembl:snRNA U6 U6 spliceosomal RNA
GUCCUCGCUUCGGCAGCAUAUAUACUAAAAUUGGAACAAUACAGAGAAGGUUAGCAUGGGCCCUGCGCAAAGAUGGCAUGAAAAUUUGUGAAGCGGUCCAUAUUUUU